rnacentral:rRNA from 1 species
GACGAACGCUGGCGGCGUGCUUAACACAUGCAAGUCGAACGGAAAGGCCCUGCUUUUGUGGGGUGCUCGAGUGGCGAACGGGUGAGUAACACGUGAGUAACCUGCCCUUGACUUUGGGAUAACUUCAGGAAACUGGGGCUAAUACCGGAUAGGAGCUCCUGCUGCAUGGUGGGGGUUGGAAAGUUUCGGCGGUUGGGGAUGGACUCGCGGCUUAUCAGCUUGUUGGUGGGGUAGUGGCUUACCAAGGGUUUGACGGGUACCCGGCCUGAGAGGGUGACCGGCCACAUUGGGAAUGAGAUACGGCCCAGACUCCUACGGGAGGCAGCAGUGGGGAAUAUUGCAAAAUGGGCGGAAGCCUGAUGCAGCAACGCCGCGUGCGGGAUGACGGCCUUCGGGUUGUAAACCGCUUUCGCCUGUGACGAAGCGUGAGUGACGGUAAUGGGUAAAGAAGCACCGGCUAACUACGUG